UAACGGUCGGGACUCUGCUGGUCGUCGUCUUGGGACGAAGGCUGCCGACGGUUCGACUGUAACCGGUGGUUCAAUCCUCUACCGUCAAC
rnacentral:tRNA from 1 species